AAGGGCUGACUCAUUGGAAAAGACCCUGAUGCUGGGAAAGAUUGAGGGCAGGAGGAGAAGGGGACGACAGAGGAUGAGAUGGUUGAAUGGCAUCACUGACAUGAUGGACAUGAGUUUGGGAAGACUCCAGGAGUUGGUGAUGGACAGGGAAGCUUGGCGUGCUG